ensembl:lncRNA
GGAGAGUAGAUGAAUACGGAGGAGAUGGGAGGAAAGAAAUGGAGAGGAAUGGAGCAAAGAGGAGAAGAGAGGUGUGAAAAUAAAUGGUAUGGAUUGUGAAAAGAGAAAAGAAGAGGACUGGUGAGGAAAGGAAUGAAGAGGAAUGGAACUGAAUGGAGUGGAAAGGAAAUUAAUCGAGAGGGAUGCGGAGGAAUGGCAUGAAGAAAGGAAAACAAUGGAAUGAAAUAGAAAGGAAUUGAAAGGAGAGGAAGAUCAAGAUGAGAAAAGGAAGGGAAUGGGCAAGAGUGUAACAGGCAAAGGAGAAGCAGUGGAUGGGAAUGGAGGUGCUCCUUGAAGCAUCAGCAGCAAGAACAAGCGGCGUGUGCUGCAAGUGGCGGUGGAGGAGAUGAUUGUUUUGCUACACCUGUCCAAACGGAUAAAACUCUGUGUGUGGCUUCUGUGGAGCAGUGAGAGAUCUGCCUGCUGGAGAUGAAAGAGGAGAUGCAGGUUAUCACUUUCUGGCCAGUGGUAUACGUGAGGGGAGGGGCAAGCAAGGCACACACAGCGAAGGACCCGGAGACAUGGACAUGCAAAUUAUCCUGCAGCUGGGCCAUGAACAUGAGCGAGAAGAAAAGGACGUUCUGAUCAAAGUUAAAAGGACCUCUCAAGCUCCAUCAGGUUCGAUGGGGAUCGUCGGUGCACGGCCACUUUCAGAUCUCUCCAGAGAUGUUCAAUCGGGUUCAAGUCUGGGCUCUGGCUGGGACACUCAAGGACAUUCACAGAGUUGUCCUGUAGCCACUCCUUUGUUAUCUUGGCUGUGUGCUUAGGGUCAUUGUCCUGUUUGAAGAUGAACCUUCGCCCCAGUCUGAGGUCCACAGCGAUCUCUGUACAUUGCUGCAUUCAUUUUUCCCUCGAUCCUGACUAGUCUCCCAG